rnacentral:lncRNA from 1 species
GGCAGCCCUAAACAAGCUGGGACAUCCCCACGCGCUACUAUACUUAGAAAUAUAGAUCAUGGUUUUUAGGUCCCUAGUAAUUUUAAAAAUACUCGAUUUGGCUUACAAUUUUUAGUGCUCAAAAGCUCAUAAAGCUUCCUCUUUGUCUCCAAAUUUCUCCACCUUUCCACACAUCAUUUCUCCAACCCACGUGAACAGUGAACAACUUCUCAUUCACCAAUAAGAUUCGAUCUCGCCGGAAUUUUAUUUUUCAGAUGGCACCUCGAUCAACGUCCGUAUCG